rnacentral:lncRNA from 1 species
GGCCUUGUUUAGAUCCAAAAAGUUUUUGGAUUUUGACACUGUAGCACUUUCAUUUUUACUCGUAUUGGACAAGCAUUGUCCAAUCAUGAAGUAACUAUGCUUAAAAGAUUCAUCUCGCGAUUUACAGACAAACUGUACAAUUAUUUUUUGUUUUUAUCUAUAUAUAUUUAAUGCUCCAUGCAUGUGGCGUAAGAUUUGAUGUGACGGAAAAUCUUGAAUUUUUUUUGAUUUUUUAGGUGAACUAUAAACAAGGCCUUACCCUUCCCUUACCUUCCCUUGAGGGAGCCACGUAAGCAUGAUGACGUACGGAGAGGGCCGGGUCCUAGGCCUUGUUUAGUUGCGAAAAAAUUUCGGAUUUCGCUACUGUA